CGGUGGUGGCGGAAUUGGUAGACGCGCUAGCUUCAGGUGUUAGUGUCCU
rnacentral:tRNA from 1 species